AACCUCUCAGAAAUUAGAAUCAGAAAUCAGUAGAAUACUGAAAACACAGUAUUAUUUCUUAAUAUGGGUGGUUGUAGCCUAGUGGGUAACACACUCGCCUAUGAACCAGAAGACCCGGGUUCGAAUCCCACUUACUACCAUUGUGUCCCUGAGCAAGACACUUAACUCUAAGUUGCUCCAGGGGGACUGUCCCUGUAAAUACUGAUUGUAAGUCGCUCUGGAUAAGGGCGUCUGAUAAAUGCUGUAAAUGUUAAUGUCUUACCAGUGUGACCUGCUACCCUUGGGAGGAUCUUGCGCAGUGGCCUCCUGGUGACUGUUGGCUCCUUGGGCUUCUUCCGAGGCCGGCCCAUCCUUCUCUUAAAGAAAUCUCUCUCUCUGUCUCCUGAAAAGAAAGCUUUACAGCUUAAAAAGGGCCAGAAGUCAGGAUUGCAUACAGAAGGUUCACCUUGCGUUGUUGCAGUAGCACCCUGGACAAGGUCAGCUCCCCCCUAUUAGAAGAUGGUGGACCAAUGCAACGUCUGCAUUGCCGAGCAGACCCACGCCAUCUUUAACGGCCUCACUCCGACAGGAGCACCAAUCAAAGUCAGGUAUGGGAGGAGCUCCGUAAAUUACAGGCUCCUCCUACAAAAAGGAAAACAAACAAGAUAACACAGAACACAGACAGCACGUCACAUGACCAUGGGACGUAACACGCACAUCCACUUCUGGUAAUUUUACAAGCAUAAUAACACAGUUUCUCAUACCUCGUUGGCCAUGUUAGCUCAGGAAACAUCUCUUCAUAAGAUCUCUUCAUUUACACUUUGCCUUGAUAUUAAUUUCAGCUGAGCACACGCAUUCUACUUAACACUAGAACUCCCAGGAUUUUCUGACCCCCUCAGCCUUACCAGAGGUGGCCCAAAUGGCCCCUUGGUUUGAAACUAACAACUCAAUCACUGACAAAUGGCUCCCAUUCAUUUGUAAUGGAGACUGGAGACUGAUGUGUUCAUUUUCAUUCAUUUUCAUUCUAUUAGCAACUUUUCAUUCUAUUUUCAGCCUAUUUUAAUAAAUAAAACACACUUGUGUUUCUAUAUAUUUUGUGAAUGUGUGUAUUUCAUACUUGCAGGUCAGUCAGUGUGUGGGAUAUUUUGUAUAAUUUUGUAAGCUUUUGUGAAGGUUUCAAUGUCACACACAUACUGUAGCUUUGGCCUGUCUUGAAGCAGUGAUGUGGGUAAAGAAAUGUAAAUAUGCCAGGGUUCACAGGUAACUAGUGUUUUUGCACAACAAAAGCAGGAGGAUGAUGGAGCUGAUGGCCUCUCCACAGGAGGUUAAAGGUGCUGAAAGCAGA
ensembl:lncRNA